rnacentral:rRNA from 1 species
UACGGAGGGAGCUAGCGUUAUUCGGAAUUACUGGGCGUAAAGCGCACGUAGGCGGCUUUGUAAGUAAGAGGUGAAAGCCCGGAGCUCAACUCCGGAACUGCCUUUUAGACUGCAUCGCUUGAAUCCAGGAGAGGUGAGUGGAAUUCCGAGUGUAGAGGUGAAAUUCGUAGAUAUUCGGAAGAACACCAGUGGCGAAGGCGGCUCACUGGACUGGUAUUGACGCUGAAGAGCGAAAGCGUGGGGAGCAAACAGG